AAAGGCACAUUUUUUGUAAGGAAUUUUUGUGGUGUUAAGGAUAUUGCGGGAAGCCACCCGGAAAUAAUGGAGGUUGCAAUGAAGAUUAUAAACUUUCUCUAUGAGAAAGAAAUCUUAUCAGAAGAAGCCAUACUAGACUGGUACUGCAACCCAAGUUACGAUACUGAUGUUGAAAAUGGGAAGAAAGUUCGCAAUCAGGUGGCUCCAUUUAUAAGUUGGUUGGAAAAAGCUGAAGAAGAGUCCUCUGAUGAUGAUGAAGAAGAUUAGAAGGGGAAAUUUUUGACUGAUGUAACAAUGUAUAAAUUUUUAUAAAUUGUUUAUAAAUUUGUGAAUAUAAAGUUUAUAUAUACUUUAUGAAAAUUGCACUCAUAUUAUACAUAAACACAUUUUCAAUUAUUUCCUUAAGGAAUACCAUGAAAUAUCCCUUCAGAUAUUUUUGCCAUCCAUGCAACAAUUAAUUAUAUCAAACUUUUGUCCAGUAGCUCUCUCUUUCUCUCUCUCUGUAAACCUUAAACCACAACAUAUUAAUGCUCGAAACCUCAACCAGGUUAUUAAUGUAGUUACUUUUACUUUUAAAACUAAUUCCUUUUUACGAAAUUGGAGGAGACUGUAGAACCAUAGAAAAAUAUAAAUGUGCGAGAUCUAGAUAUUCUUAAAUAUCCAAGAAAACAUUUUAUCAGUCAGUUUAUGUAUGCCGAACCAAAACACACACAUCUUAUUGAAACUGUGGCUAUAUAAACUAUUUUUAAACAUAUUGAGAAUUGUGGUGUUGAAAUAUCUGACACUGAAAAAUUUAGUCAUUUAAAAUAUUCAAGCUCCCUAUCUAAAUGUUUUUGCAUUUUCAGGGACUCCAUUUUAUUUAUUUAAAGAAAACUCUCCAAUGUGAUAAUAAAUAAAUUCAAGGCAUAGCUGAGCGUACUGCAUAACAACUUAUUAAAAAAAUCUAAAUCACUUAUGGUAAAUUGACUUUUACAAAUCUGUAAUGGCACUCCAAACAGACGACUAAAAAGAAACAAGUUGAGACCUGUUAUUGUAACAUAUAUGACUACAACCAGCCCAGAAAUAUAUAUUUAUCCUGCUAGUGUAUAUACUUCUUGAACUGAUUUACUUGUGUAAAUGUUUGCAGUUGCAAAUAAGGAUGAACGUUUAGAGAAAGUUAUACCAUUUUGAUUCACUUAGCAUUUGCCCUGUGUUUCAUUUCUUCAGUUAAUUCAUAUUAAAGUGUACCAUUUU